ACACAUGCAAGUCGAGGGGAAACGACAUCGAAAGCUUGCUUUUGAUGGGCGUCGACCGGCGCACGGGUGAGUAACGCGUAUCCAACCUGCCCACCACUUGGGGAUAACCUUGCGAAAGUAAGACUAAUACCCAAUGACGUCUCUAGAAGACAUCUGAAAGGGAUUAAAGAUUUAUCGGUGAUGGAUGGGGAUGCGUCUGAUUAGCUUGUUGGCGGGGUAACGGCCCACCAAGGCUACGAUCAGUAGGGGUUCUGAGAGGAAGGUCCCCCACAUUGGAACUGAGACACGGUCCAAACUCCUACGGGAGGCAGCAGUGAGGAAUAUUGGUCAAUGGACGAGAGUCUGAACCAGCCAAGUAGCGUGCAGGAUGACGGCCCUAUGGGUUGUAAACUGCUUUUAUAAGGGAAUAAAGUGAGCCUCGUGAGGCUUUUUGCAUGUACCUUAUGAAUAAGGACCGGCUAAUUCCGUGCCAGCAGCCGCGGUAAUACGGAAGGUCCGGGCGUUAUCCGGAUUUAUUGGGUUUAAAGGGAGCGUAGGCCGGAGAUUAAGCGUGUUGUGAAAUGUAGAUGCUCAACAUCUGCACUGCAGCGCGAACUGGUUUCCUUGAGUACGCACAAAGUGGGCGGAAUUCGUGGUGUAGCGGUGAAAUGCUUAGAUAUCACGAAGAACUCCGAUUGCGAAGGCAGCUCACUGGAGCGCAACUGACGCUGAAGCUCGAAAGUGCGGGUAUCGAACAGGAUUAGAUACCCUGGUAGUCCGCACGGUAAACGAUGGAUGCCCGCUGUUGGUCUGAAUAGGUCAGCGGCCAAGCGAAAGCAUUAAGCAUCCCACCUGGGGAGUACGCCGGCAACGGUGA
rnacentral:rRNA from 1 species